AGAUUGAACGCUGGCGGAAUGCUUUACACAUGCAAGUCGAACGGCAGCACGGGGGCAACCCUGGUGGCGAGUGGCGAACGGGUGAGUAACACAUCGGAACGUGCCCAGUCGUGGGGGAUAACUACGCGAAAGCGUAGCUAAUACCGCAUACGAACUCUGGUUGAAAGCGGGGGACUCGCAAGAGCCUCGCGCGAUUGGAGCGGCCGAUGGCAGAUUAGGUAGUUGGUGGGGUAAAAGGCUCACCAAGCCGACGAUCUGUAGCUGGUCUGAGAGGACGACCAGCCACACUGGGACUGAGACACGGCCCAGACUCCUACGGGAGGCAGCAGUGGGGAAUUUUUGGACAAUGGACGCAAGUCUGAUCCAGCCAUUCCGCGUGCAGGAUGAAGGCCCUCGGGUUGUAAAACUGCUUUUUGUACGGAACGAAAAAGGCGCUUUCUAAUACAGAGCGCUCAUGACGGUACCGUAAGAAUAAAGCACCGGCUAAACUACGUGCCAGCAGCCG
rnacentral:rRNA from 1 species